AGCAUUGUAAUUGGUUUAUUCUUCCGCUUCUGCUUCCGACUCUGACAAUCUAGUUUUCACUAGAUCGUAAGCGACAGAGUCAUAAGCGGAAUGGGUGUAAUGCUUCCAACUCCGUUGGCUUGAUUUUCACUAGAUCGUAUCACUCUACGCUUCUGAUUAUGACUCUGACUACGACUCCGUCGCUAGUGAAAACCAGCCUUUAGAGAGCUUUAUGCCAAAAGCUCCCUGUACAUGUAUGUAAAUACACAUUGGAAACAUAAACAAGGCUAGUUAAACAAAUGACUUGUAAAAUCCAAAAUAUAAUUUGCUCUUUUAGGAACAACUGGAAGAUAAAACAAGACUUAAUGAAAACUUAGAAAAACAGUUAUCUCAAAGACCCUCAGGCAAUGAAGUAAUCACAUUACAGAAUCAACUCUCCACUGCACAACAACAGGUGUCUUCACUGCAGCAAGAAAAGGAGGAGGAACAUAAAUCAUGGCAGGAAAAAUUCAAUGCAACCUUAAUAGAAGUCAACAGCUUACAAAUGAAAGUGAAGGAGCUUGAAGUGGAAAAGGCAUCAAAAAUUGAACAAGUCCAGAGGUAACUGAACAUUACUCUAGUUUAUUGUUAAAACCAGUGGGCAGUAUUACAGCAUAUGAUAGCAUGAAUGUUCUAUCGUUGUAAAGUUUAGAGUGGUUUUCAAUAGACCAUAUUGAUAUUCUUCGUAUUGGACUGGAACUAGCUUGUAAUGGAGGCUCAUGCGGGGAAUAUCAUUAAAAAGAGAUAAGAUUCCCCUCAUUAUCCUCCAUUGCAAGCUACAAUCCUGAACAAAAGUACAUGUAGUUGGGACAUUUGAGCUGGAUCAUGUAUUACCCAUCCCCCCUAAUCAAUGUUGGAAAACGUCGCGUUUUUUCAACAAAAAGGGAAAAAAUCUCCCGAUUAUCAACAUUGUCAGUGGUGGGAGGGGAGAACUUGCUUCGUGUCCCAACUUUUUGUCUGGGAGUGUAGUUCCAGUCCAUUACCAACAAUGUGAAUAUGGCCUCUUGAGUGUCAUAAAACCAAAACCAAUGUUAUCACAUAGGCCAAUCAUAAAGUAUUAUUCCACAAGAAUACUUAAGGCAAAGUGUUG